GAGUAGUGUGGAACUGUCCAGAGUAGUGUGUGUCCAGAGUAGUUUGUGUGUGUGUACAGGUUCAGUGUGUGCAGGUAUAGUGUGUACAGGAUCAGUGUAAAAACAGGUUCAGUGUUUACAGGUUCAGUGUAAAAACAGGUUCAGUGUGUACAGGUUCAGUGUGUACAGGUUCAGUGUAAAAACAGGUUCAGUGUGUACAGGUUCAGUGUAAAAACAGGUUCAGUGUGUACAGGUUCAGUGUAAAAACAGGUUCAAUGUGUACAGGUUCAGUGUAAAAACAGGUUCAGUGUGUACAGGUUCAGUGUGUACAGGUUCAGUGUAAAAACAGGUUCAGUGUGUACAGGUUCAGUGUAAAAACAGGUUCAGUGUGUACAGGUCCAGUGUAAAAAUAGGUUCAGUGUGUACAGGUUCAGUGUAAAAACAGGUUCAGUGUGUACAGGUCCAGUGUAAAAACAGGUUCAGUGUGUACAGGUUCAGUGUGUACAGGUUCAGUGUAAAAACAGGUUCAGUGUGUACAGGUUCAGUGUAAAAACAGGUUCAGUGUAAAAACAGGUUCAGUGUGUACAGGUUCAGUGUAAAAACAGGUUCAGUGUGUACAGGUUCAGUGUAAAAACAGGUUCAGUGUGUACAGUUUCAGUGUAAAAACAGGUUCAGUGUGUACAGGUUCAGUGUAAAAACAGGUUCAGUGUGUACAGGUUCAGUGUAAAAACAGGUUCAGUGUGUACAGGUUCAGUGUAAAAACAGGUUCAGUGUGUACAGGUCCAGUGUAAAAAUAGGUUCAGUGUGUACAGGUUCAGUGUUAUAACAGGUUCAGUGUGUACAGGUCCAGUGUAAAAAUAGGUUCAGUGUGUACAGGUUCAGUGUAAAAACAGGUUCUGUGUGUACAGGUUCAGUGUGUACAGGUGCAGUGUAAAAACAGGUUCAGUGUGUACAGGUUCAGUGUAAAAACAGGUUCAGUGUGUACAGGUUCAGUGUAAAAACAGGUUCAGUGUGUACAGGUUCAGUGUAAAAACAGGUUCUAUGUGUACAGGUUCAGUGUGUACAGGUGCAGUGUAAAAACAGGUUCAGUGUGUACAGGUGCAGUGUAAAAACAGGUUCAGUGUGUACAGGUGCAGUGUAAAAACAGGUUCAGUGUGUACAGGUUCAGUGUAAAAACAGGUUCAGUGUAAAAACAGGUUCUGUGUGUACAGGUUCAGUGUAAAAACAGGUUCAGUGUAAAAACAGGUUCUGUGUGUACAGGUUCAGUGUAAAAACAGGUUCAGUGUAAAAACAGGUUCUGUGUGUACAGGUUCAGUGUAAAAACAGGUUCAGUGUAAAAACCGGUUCCGUGUGUACAGGUUCCAUGUGUACAGGUUCAGUGUAAAAAUAGGUUCAGUGUAAAAACAGGUUCAGUGUGUACAGGUUCAGUGUGUACAGGUUCCGUGUGUACAGACUCAGUGUGUACAGGUUCAGUGUAAAAACAGGUUCAGUGUGUACAGGUUCAGUGUAAAAACAGGUUCAGUGUGUACAGGUUCAGUGUGUACAGGUUCAGUGUGUACAGGUUCAGUGUGUACAGGUUCAGCUUGUCAAGAUUCAGUGUAAAAACAGGUUCAGUGUGUGUACAGGUUCAGUGUGUACAGGUUCCGUGUGUACAUGUUCACUGUGUACAGGUUCAGUGUGUACAGGUUCAGUGUAAAAACAGGUUCAGUGUAAAAACAGGUUCAGUGUGUACAGGUUCAGUGUGUACAGGUUCAGUGUGUACAGGUUCAGUGUGUACAGCUUCCGUGUGUACAGCUUCCGUGUGUACAGGUUCAGUGUAAAAAUAGGUUCCGUGUGUACAGGUUCAGUGUGUACAGGUUCAGUGUAAAAACAGGUUCAAUGUGUACAGGUUUAGUGUGUACAGGUUUAGUGUGUACAGGUUUAGUGUGUACAGGUUCCGUGUGUACAUGUUCAGUGUAAAAACAGGUUCAGUGUGUACAGGUUCCGUGUGUACAGGUUCAGUGUGUACAAGUUCAGUGUAAAAACAGGUUCCGUGUGUACAGGUUCCGUGUGUACAGGUUCAGUGUGUACAGGUUCAGUGUGUACAGGUUCAGUGUGUACAGGUUCAGUGUAAAAACAGGUUCAGUGUGUACAGGUUCAGUGUGUACAGGUUCAGUGUGUACAGGUUCAGUGUGUACAGGUUCAGUGU